rnacentral:rRNA from 1 species
UGGGGAAUAUUGGACAAUGGGCGCAAGCCUGAUCCAGCCAUGCCGCGUGAGUGAUGAAGGCCCUAGGGUUGUAAAGCUCUUUCACCGGUGAAGAUAAUGACGGUAACCGGAGAAGAAGCCCCGGCUAACUUCGUGCCAGCAGCCGCGGUAAUACGAAGGGGGCUAGCGUUGUUCGGAUUUACUGGGCGUAAAGCGCACGUAGGCGGACUUUUAAGUCAGGGGUGAAAUCCCGGGGCUCAACCCCGGAACUGCCUUUGAUACUGGAAGUCUUAAGUAUGGUAGAGGUGAGUGGAAGUCCGAGUGUAGAGGUGAAAUUCGUAGAUAUUCGGAGGAACACCAGUGGCGAAGGCGGCUCACUGGACCGUUACUGACGCUGAGGUGCGAAAGCGGGGGGAGCAAACAGG